UGGCGGCAGGCCUAACACAUGCAAGUCGAGCGGUAGAGAGAAGCUUGCUUCUCUUGAGAGCGGCGGACGGGUGAGUAAUGCCUAGGAAUCUGCCUGGUAGUGGGGGAUAACGUUCGGAAACGGACGCUAAUACCGCAUACGUCCUACGGGAGAAAGCAGGGGACCUUCGGGCCUUGCGCUAUCAGAUGAGCCUAGGUCGGAUUAGCUAGUUGGUGAGGUAAUGGCUCACCAAGGCGACGAUCCGUAACUGGUCUGAGAGGAUGAUCAGUCACACUGGAACUGAGACACGGUCCAGGCUCCUACGGGAGGCAGCAGUGGGGAAUAUUGGACAAUGGGCGAAAGCCUGAUCCAGCCAUGCCGCGUGUGUGAAGAAGGUCUUCGGAUUGUAAAGCACUUUAAGUUGGGAGGAAGGGUUGUAGAUUAAUACUCUGCAAUUUUGACGUUACCGACAGAAUAAGCACCGGCUAACUCUGUGCCAGCAGCCGCGGUAAUACAGAGGGUGCAAGCGUUAAUCGGAAUUACUGGGCGUAAAGCGCGCGUAGGUGGUUUGUUAAGUUGGAUGUGAAAUCCCCGGGCUCAACCUGGGAACUGCAUUCAAAACCGACUGACUAGAGUAUGGUAGAGGGUGGUGGAAUUUCCUGUGUAGCGGUGAAAUGCGUAGAUAUAGGAAGGAACACCAGUGGCGAAGGCGACCACCUGGACUAAUACUGACACUGAGGUGCGAAAGCGU
rnacentral:rRNA from 1 species